GAUGAACGCUGGCGGCGUGCUUAACACAUGCAAGUCGAACGGAAAGGCCCAAGCUUGCUUGGGUACUCGAGUGGCGAACGGGUGAGUAACACGUGGGUGAUCUGCCCUGCACUUCGGGAUAAGCCUGGGAAACUGGGUCUAAUACCGGAUAGGAACACUUCUUGGAUGUUGUGGUGGAAAGUUUUUUGGGUGUGGGAUGAGCUCGCGGCCUAUCAGCUUGUUGGUUGGGUAAUGGCCUACCAAGGCGUCGACGGGUGGCCGGUCGGGGAAGGUGUGUGGCGACAUUGGGUCUGUGAAUCAGCCCAGGCACCUUCGGGGGGAUGGAGUUGGGAAUAUUGGAGAAAGGGCACAAGCCAGUUGCAACGACGCCGCGGGGGGGGUGACUGGCUUGGGGUUGUAAACUCCUGGCACUAGGGACGAAGCGUUUUGUGACGGGACCUGGUGAAGAAGCACCGGCUAAGUACGUG
rnacentral:rRNA from 1 species